UACGGGGGGAGCAAGCGUUGUUCGGAUUUACUGGGCGUAAAGGGCGCGUAGGCGGCCACCGCAAGUCGACUGCGAAAUCUCCGGGCUUAACCCGGAACGGUCAGCCGAUACUGCGGGGCUAGAGUGCAGAAGGGGCAACUGGAAUUCUCGGUGUAGCGGUGAAAUGCGUAGAUAUCGAGAGGAACACCUGCGGCGAAGGCGGGUUGCUGGGCUGACACUGACGCUGAGGCGCGAAAGCUAGGGGAGCGAACGGG
rnacentral:rRNA from 1 species